CCUACGUGGGGCAGCAGUGGGGAAUAUUGGACAAUGGGCGAAAGCCUGAUCCAGCCAUGCCGCGUGUGUGAAGAAGGCCUUCGGGUUGUAAAGCACUUUCAGUGGGGAAGAAAGCCUUGGGGCUAAUACCCUCGAGGAAGGACAUCACCCACAGAAGAAGCACCGGCUAACUCCGUGCCAGCAGCCGCGGUAAUACGGAGGGUGCGAGCGUUAAUCGGAAUUACUGGGCGUAAAGCGCGCGUAGGCGGUCUGAUAAGCCGGUUGUGAAAGCCCCGGGCUCAACCUGGGAACGGCAUCCGGAACUGUCAGGCUAGAGUGCAGGAGAGGAAGGUAGAAUUCCCGGUGUAGCGGUGAAAUGCGUAGAGAUCGGGAGGAAUACCAGUGGCGAAGGCGGCCUUCUGGACUGACACUGACGCUGAGGUGCGAAAGCGUGGGUAGCAAACAGGAUUAGAUACCCCGGUAGUC
rnacentral:rRNA from 1 species